rnacentral:rRNA from 1 species
AGAACGAACGCUGGCGGCAUGCCUAACACAUGCAAGUCGAACGAGAUCUUCGGGUCUAGUGGCGCACGGGUGCGUAACGCGUGGGAAUCUGCCCUUUGGUUCGGAAUAACAGUUGGAAACGACUGCUAAUACCGGAUGAUGACGAAAGUCCAAAGAUUUAUCGCCAGAGGAUGAGCCCGCGUAGGAUUAGCUAGUUGGUGUGGUAAAGGCGCACCAAGGCGACGAUCCUUAGCUGGUCUGAGAGGAUGAUCAGCCACACUGGGACUGAGACACGGCCCAGACUCCUACGGGAGGCAGCAGUGGGGAAUAUUGGACAAUGGGCGAAAGCCUGAUCCAGCAAUGCCGCGUGAGUGAUGAAGGCCGUUAGGGUUGUAAAGCUCUUUUACCCGGAUGAUAAUGACAGUACGGAGAAUAAGCUCCGCUAACUCCGUGCCAGCAGCCGC